AUUAAAUAGUGCCUAUGUUGUACCUGAGACAGAAAAAACAAUAUCUAGAAAAUGUAAAUAUUAUUGUGUACCUCACUGAAAAUGGCCAUACGACAGCUAAUACUGCUGAAAAACAUGGCAAAACGCGAAAUUAUGUCCCGAAACAGCAAAGCCAAGGUCGCCCUAAGGCGCUAGCAGACCCAAAAGCAUCACUUAUAAUGUAGCAAGUACUUACUUAGUAAGUACUUACUUACUUGUUACUCACUUAGUAACAAAGACUUUCUAAGUCCAAAGGAUGCUCUUUUCGCAUAAUACAAAAAAUGUUGGUCUUGAUGGCCAAGUAUGGCCAUCGUACCACCACCUAAAACAUCCUCACACCAUUUUACAUCUACUGGCAUGUUUCACGGUUCGCUUGAUACGAUGUCCUUGAAGCCUUUUUUCGGUCUUACGCUAACAAUGCCACCCAUAUGAAUUUUUGGACUCAUCAGACCUGAUAACACGUUUAUGAUAAUUUAAAAGUUUCGGGUUUGAUUUACCAUUUUUUGUCCGACCACGUGAUUAGCAAAUUUAUAAAUAUAAAAUAACGAAAAGUGCAUAAAUGAGUACAUGCGCGUUUUUUUAGUUUUUUAUUUUUCGCUAUUUAAAAGCUUCACCUUUGUAUUUUUCUGGGAUUGCCUAUUUGUUAAGGAUAAAGUGAUUCAUGUCUACAAAAAAAUUGGUUACGUUUGCGUUAUGCGCUUAGAAGAAGUUAUAGGCGACAAAAGUCAGUUAUAGUGAACAUGUACUCAUAAUUUCUCCCCACUGUACAAACAUAUGUACAUAUGUUGUAUAUCGAAUAUAUUCUAUAAUACAAAAAAAUAUCAUUCAUGUAAAGGACCUAGCAAACCAAAAACGUGCCUUUUGCGGGAGUCCUGAAAAAUGCUUACAAACGAGCUCGAAUGCGAGCUAAUCGUUAACUUUAUUUUCUGUUCAUUUCAAUAAAGUGCAGGCAAGUGUUUAGAGAAAAACGAAAAAUAUAAAUAAAUUCAAUAAGAGCUCCUGGCUCCAAAAGUUGGGCAAAAUAAAGAGUAAUGAAAUAGUGGCGAAGUAAGUAAAUAACUAACUCUAGUAAAUAACUUGUAUUUUUCGCCAAUUUGUAAUCUAUUUUUUAUAGAGUCUACAGAUGCAUUUAAACAAGUGGACGGCACGGAUACAAUCACAUGCUUGCAGUGCGUUUGAGUGCGUAAGCAGCACAAACAUUGGUAUUGGUACCACCCACUGUAAUACGCGUGUACGUGUAAUGAUCGACACAAGUAUCAUAUUUCGAUCAAAUGCUACUACGAAUGUGAGCGUUUUAUCGGGUUAACUUCCACUUUUGACACGUAUGCGAUUUCAUUUGCGAGCGUUUGGUUUUUUGGGGAUUAUUAAUUUGCAUUCAUUUGCAGUGGCUAAACCCACCCUGUCCCGCAGCUUUUGUUGUUUUUUCACAUUCUCUCAUUCACACUCUGCUUCUGCUUCACUCGACCUCUGCCUCUGCCGUCCCCCUGCCACUGCCUCUGCCGACUUUUAACCCACCCCGUCCCGCAGCUUAUACUUGUUUUUUUUUGUGUGCGGGCGCUGCCUCUGCCGCGAGUCUGCAGUGUGUGGGUCUAGGGAAUCGGGGCGAGCUAAAGGAGCGUGUUGGUGUGAGAAGUGUUGUAGAUGUAGAUGACAGAUGAAGAGAAAUUUUAAUAUUUGUGACUAUUGGCGACGGUGACUUAUAUCAGAUAUCUAAUGAUUGAAGCAUUAAACAGUCAUAAGUAUAGCUGUGCUUUUAUGAAUACUGUGGUUUCAUGCAGGGCUAUAGUGCGUAUGUACAUACAUAUGUAUGUAUGUAUUGGCAGUUACUUGAACAGAUUAGGAGAGAACUGGAAACGCCUAAAAAAAUUUAUCAACACAAAAUAAAUGGUAGUGAAGCUGACACAACGCCUAACGCGGAAACACUAAAUCAAUAUAAUGGAAAAUCAAGCUCAGAAGUCUAGAAAAAAACAGCUGCGGCAGCGACUGCGACUGCAACGUUAUCUGAAAUAUGUACAUACAUACAUACAUACAUAUAUUAAAAUUAUAUCGCAGUUCAAGCGAGCAAUUAUAUCCUAGCCCAUGUCCGACUAUGAGAUGCCCUUUUAUCAAAUCAGAUUUAUUUGUUUAUUUACUUUCGUCAAGAUAUAAAGAACGAGGAGGAACGUUGUGAGACUCGUCACAACUUUUAUACCCGGUUAUAACUCAGGUAGAUAUGGCCAUUCUUUGCGGAAUGGAUGUAGCAGUGGAUGCACAUUCUCUCAUUCACACUCUGCUUCUGCAGCGUGCGGCCUCUGCCUCUGCCGUGCCUCUGCACAUUUGCAGAUUUUAGUCCUUUGUGGGGAUGGAAGGGGCUGGGAAAAAUUUGGAGACAAACUUUAUUCAAUGUGAUAUCAUAUAAGUCUUUACACACAAUCUUGUGACUUUAGGUCUUAUAGUAUCUGAGAAACAGGCGUCAAAAAAGUCGGACAGACACACAUAGCUAUUGAUGUUGACCAAGAAUAUUUAUAAUGUUUAGGGUCGGAAACGUUUCCUUCUGUUUGUUACACUUUUCGAACACAAAUUAAAUAUAUACCUUUUAAUCGUUGAGUACCGAGUAUAAUUGUGAUAAUCAUCCGAGUAUAAUCAUCCACAAAUGUAAUAACACAUGUUCAUAUGUAUAUGUAAUUAACAUUAUCCGACACAAUUUGUCUACAAGUUGAGUGAGACAAGUCCCCUAACCGAUUCCAAGUGCAAUUAAAUGCUGUCCGGCCAUCGGGAAUAUAAAUAUGUACCACAUGGGUGGAAAUUUUAUAGAGUUUCACAUUUAUAACAGAUUUGUAACGAAUAGAGAAAACGCGUGCGUCAUCAGUCAUCUCUAUCUAAAGGUCGUUUUAGACACUGAGUCUGAAUCGCGUAGAGCUUUCAUGUAUGUACAUAUGUAUGUAAGGAAUCACGCUUUGUUCACACGUUGAAUCAUUUGGCAUGAAUCGUGGAGCAUAACUGAGGGUAGAACGAGGGUAGAGACGUAGCCAAAAAGCCGUGACUUUCCGCAAAUAUCUAAAUCGAUUUGAUAUUCUGUGAAAUCGUGAGAUCGUGAGCACCACACGUACACUUGAAUCUGCGAUGCAGACUCACCGUCUAAACCAUGAAGCAAUUAUAUAAGUAGGUCUCCUAUAACUGGUGCUUAGGGCAUAUAUUUUCGAGGUUUUUGGAAAAAAACCUGAUUUUCCAGGCGAUGAAUUCAAACUCAGCUUUAAAAAAAAGUUUAGGCAAUAUAUUAAUAGCAAUUUGUAAAUGUUUUGCAUUGACGCCUCUUUAACGUGGGGGUGUGAUUUUACACGAUGGACUUUUCUUACGAAUCACCUUUCUUUAAUGAUGCAAUAGUAAAAUAAAUAAUGACAAACAUAAUUCCGAAGAGUAAAUGGGGUAUAUUGUAUUUGUGCUUAAAAAAUGUCACACAUGGAAGAAAGCGUUUCCUUCUGUGCGUUACAAAAUCCGUUAUUUCCCAUAAAUACAAUAUACCUUAUUUACUCUUCGAGUACCGGGUAUAAAAACAAAUUUGAAGGAAGCGUUUCCGACCCCAUAAAGUAUAUAUAUUCUUGAUCAGCAUCAAUAGCCGAGUCGAUAGAGCCAUGUCUGUCUGUCCUUCUGUCCGUCUGUCCGUCUUGUUCGUCGGCUCGUUCUCAGAGACUAUAAGAGCUAGAGCCACCAAAUUUUGGCUCCGGACUGCUGUAUGCUCACACUAUUACAAGUGUAUUUAAAAGAAGGCCACGCCACCUUCCGCCCCCACAAAAGAGCGAAAACCCCCCAAAUCUACAGUUUUGAAGAUAAAAGAAAACUAAAAAUGCCAUUCCGUAGGGAAUGGCCAAAUCUAUCAGACCACCAAAUUGGGAUCCGAUUGGAUCAUUAUCAUCAUAGCCAGAAUGAAGAAAUUAAUUUGCAGUGGCUAAACCCACCCUGUCCCGCAGCUUUUGUUGUUUUUUUUCACAUUCUCUCAUUCACACUCUGCUUCUGCAGUUGCCACUGCUUUUGCGCGACUCUGCCUCUGACGUGGAUCUGAAGUGUGUGGCUCUAGAGGAGAGGUGCUAGCGAAAAAGAUAGAUGUAGAUGACAGGUGUAGAAAAAAUGUAAAAUGUAAAAAUCGUAAAAAAAAAACAAUAGGGGUCAGGUACUUUGACUGAGUAUAAAAAGUAUGGAGUAUAAAAGUUGUGACGCGUAAGAUGCGUCUCACACGUCUCUUUCGUUGUUUUUUUAGAAAAUCGAAAUAAAGAACAAAUCUGGAAUUAAUGCAUAUGUUUCAUGUUCUAUAUGUUUCUUGAAGUUUUAUAUGUAGUUUUUAAUCAAAUUUGUUUUCACUAUGGCCUUACUCCCACCUGGCAUAUGCACAUAAGAUCCUGCCCAAGCUUAAAUAAAAUAUAAGACUAUAGUUCUUAUAACAUAUAACUUAUAACUUUCAACAAUAAGAUUUCGUUGGGACUUUCGUCUAGAGACUGAGCUAGACAUGGAAAAGUGUUUACCUUUUCGAAUAAAAUUCCAUUCCUCGCAAGCUUUCUUGCUUGUUUCAGAUCAUUGUCUUGUUGAAAGAUCCUUGUCAUGGGCCUUUCUAAUAGUAAUAUUACUGUAUUGUAUUAAAAAGUAUUCUGGCACACACCACUUUAUAAAAUACGUCAAUGCCAGGCUAGGAAGUAGAGGCUUAUAUGGGGUGGAGCUCAAAAGGGUCAACCCAACAUGCCCAAUGUGGUUUUAUUCAAGAAUUUGGGCAGUUAUCAGAUAUAUGUGAACGCCAAACAUAUUCUUUUGAGUCUUUUUAACCAUCUAAAACAACUUUACACUCAUCUGAAAAUGUAUUUUUCGGACUGUGACACGGCCCAGUCCACAUGCCUCAUGUUCACAUUUUUUAAAUAAUUAGUCGUGUACCAAUGUGCUUUUAUUCUCAAACGCGAAGCUUCCGGGGACCUCUUCCAAUUAAAAAAUGCGUAAUCAGUCGUUUAUUAACUGUCAAAACACUUUCAGAGCGAUAUAAAAUUGUUUUCAUAACUUUUAAGGAUAUUGAAGACCUUGGUCUUGACAAUUUUUUCGCAUAAAUCAUUUUUUAGGGUGCUUCUUUAAGUUUAAAAAAUUCAAUAUUACAGUAAAAGCCAAAUUAGUUUUGAAUAUCCAUUAUACCUCCUGAUUUUAGUUUUUAGUCUAAAUUUAAAGUCUCUCAUAUUGGAUGGACCGUUCAUAUACUUCUUCUACGCUCCAAAAACAAGAGUACCGCUAUAUUCAAACAUUUCUUUCAUCAAAAUUUUCAAUAUAUAACUGACUUUUUGAGUGACUUUUUUGAAUUGAUUUAAUUUGUUUUUUAUUUUUUUUUAACUUGCACCCAGCAAUACUAUUUUAUUUAUAACAGCAGGUUUCAUGGGUAUUUUUGUAAAGUAAUGUAAAACAAGAAGAUGGAAUGCAAACGUUCCAGAAUUCUUUCUGGUUUCUAAUUUUUACUUUUCAGGCUUUCCAAAAAGGUAUCACUUGUUCAAUUCGAAAGACGGGAAGAGUCUCAAAAAUAGCUGAGAAAAUUGUGUGCCGCUGCACUACUAUUUCAUUGAACACAACUGUAUAUCAGCGCCUUUACAAGCUACGGCAACCAAAUUUUUUGUCAAGAUUGCUGUGACAUCACACUGUUACAAUUGUAUUUCAAAUUUUCCCCUCGCCCUUUUCCGCCCAACAAAAAGGCGAAAAUCAGCUUCAUCCACAAUUUUGAAGAUAAGACAGUACUAAAACCGCAGGUCUGUAGCGAAUGGCCUUAUCUAUCAGAUCCCCGAAUAAGAUCGGAUCAUUAUUAGCCAGAAUAUCGAAACUCAUAUUCAGUGCCUACUCCCAGUGGGAGGGGGGCGAGCUAAAAGGGCGUGUUGUCGUGAUAAGUGAUUUAAUUUAUGAUGUAUAUAAGAUGUAGAAAACAUGUAAAAUAGAAAACUCUAAAAAUGCAUAAGGCUGCAUUAUGUACAUACAUACAUGCAUGCAUACAUAUGUAUACAGCACCCUAAGGUUACAUACAUACAUACAUAUAUAUAUAUGUAGGUGCAUUUGUUUGUACGUACAUAAAUAUGAAUAUACUGACUGAUGCCUUCCGCUGGAACGUUUCUCAUAACGUUUCUCAAAGCAUAGACCAAGCUGUCGCUAAGAGACAUCGGAGUUGGCAGCCGGGGGCUGGUGCUCAGGCUGUCACCCAGCGGCUCUCCGUCGUUGUGCGUAGCGCGUUGCCAAAAUGUCAUGUGUGAAAAGAUCAGGCCAACUUGUCGGCAUCGCUUCAAAUUGGGUAAGACUGUUAAACUACCAACUGCUGAAUGUGACCAUGCAGAUAGACUGCACUAGUUUAAACCUUGGAUGACCUUGAGGAGUCAGAGGAUUGAAGUACAUAGAAGCUGUGUCCAAAAGUUGUCAAUGUGUCCAAAAGUAGGAGGAUUGAGGAUAGAGGAUAGAACACUGUGCGGAGGAAAUACGAUUAUUAAUCAGAGUAUUCAUUACGAAGUGCCUUUACAACGUGGACAUAUUUCUCCUUUACUCGCAUUCCAAGAAGAGACUUGGUGUGAAAAGCUCUGAAACGAAUUAAAGUUUAGUGACAGACCGAAAGGAACUCAGAGCGACUCAGCGUCCUUUUGUCACCCUAACGGCACUUUCCAACUUGCUCCACCACUCUGAAUGGGACUCGUAUGCAAGCCAGAAGAAUCUUCGUACAGAGGAACUAGCCUGGAAAGGCAGAAAAAACAGCAUUAAACGUGAGCUACGACAGUACUGCAGAACCUACCUGUAUAUCACGCCUGACCCGCAAGCUAAGAAAACGGUUUUGUCCAAUUUGGUAAAAGAAGGGCACGGCUUUUCCUAGGCCGAAGGGGGGGAGCGAAGCGCCGCUCUUUUUUAUUGUCUCUUUUAUUGGCGCAACUUGCUUUUCCCGGUGUCCUGUGCUUAUCACAGCCAAUCACUGCAAGUGGUGUUAGGAAGCGACUGCAGAACAGCUGGCAGAGCGCUGCCAGAUCGCACAAGAGGGACCAGAGGCAACCCCAAAAGAGCGAGCAGAUGGCUGGGUAAAGGUUGCCGAUAGGAAAAAGCAGUGGAGCUUAAGGAGCAGGCAGGGGUGGCAAUAAACGAGUCGGCAGUCAUUGCCAUCAGACCAGCCUAAAAGAGCACCCCAGUAGUGACGCUGACAGUCUCACCGGCUGUGGCCGAGAAACUGCUAGGAAUGGGAAGAAUCUGCAUGGAGUGGGGGUACUGCAAAAUACGACCCAAAAAAACGCACAGGAGAUGCUACAAGUGCAUGGAGUUUGGGCACAUCAGUCUAAACUGCAAGAGUGGAGAUGUGUUCACCAAGUGCUGCUACAACUGCGCAGGAUCGGACCACCAGUCCAAAGACUGCAGAGAGUUUAUUGCCGACUCCAGCAAAAAGACAGCGAUAUAGAGCUGUGGGAGCCAAACACAGCAACUACGGCAAACGUUCGUCGGAAAUGGCUUCGCCAGCAGGCAACGGCGGUAAAGAAAGUAGAUCGGAUGAUGCACGGGAUAAACACCCUACGCUCAUAGCCGGCGACUUUGACGCAUGGGCUAUCGAGUGGGUGUGCCCGAGAACCAACCCAAGGGGACAAGGCCUCCUUGAAAUCCUCUCACCGCUUGAUGCCGUGCUGCUAAACACUGACACCCAGCAGACAUUUGGCAGAGCAGGAACAAGGUCCAUCAUUGACCUUACGUUCGUGAGCAGCAGUCUUAGCCAGAGAACAAUCUGGGAAGUUAGCGACACCUAUACAGGAAGCGACCCCUAAGCCCUGAUGUAUGAGAGCAAGGAUGCUAGACCAAGUAAAUCGCUAAGAUGCACGCAGGCUAUGUACAAGGUCGACACGCUAGAGCUGGACAUUUGACGAGCCAUGUUCGAAGGCUAUGAGACCAACGGAACUGCAGCAGAAAGAGCAAGCCAAUUGGUCAUCCAAAUGCUGGCAGCAUGUGACGCAUCCAUGCUACGCACAACUGUACAGGAAAGUCCACGAACUUUUGUGGAACUGUUCAAUGCGUGCAUGUCCGAAGGAAUCUUCCCAAGCCUAUGGAAGCGACUACGGCUGGUCCUUAUACCCAAGGGAAACAAUCCGACCGAGGAGCCAUCCUCCUACAGACAACUCUGCAUGCUAGACAAAGUGUUGGGACCGCAAAGAAGAACUAGGAAGUUUCCACGUACCGCCGUAUCUGAAGAUGAUCGUCGCUGAAUAACUAAGAGACCGGGUGCUCAUAUAUGGGACAGACAAGGGAACACGUGAGCACCAAAUCACGGGAAGUGUUCCCCACGGAUCGGUACUCGGACCGCUACUAUGAAAAAUCUUGUACGAUACAAUCCUAACGAGAAGGGACGUGUGAGACGCUACUUACGCGUCGCAACUUUUAUACCCGGCACUCAGUACUACAUCUGUACCUUAGCGGUUUUAGUCAAAUUUAACAUUUUUUCUUCAUCUGUCAUCUACAUCUACAACAAUUCUCACGCCAUCACAAUAUUUUAGCUCGCCACCCUUCCCUAGAGCCACACACUGCAGAGUCAUGGCAGAUGCAGAGACGCGGCAGAGGCCGCACACUGCAGAAGCAGAGUGUGAAUGAGAAAAUAUGAAACGAGAAGAGACGUGUGAGACGCUUCUUAUGCGUCACAACUUUUAUGCCCGGCACUCAGUACUACAUCUGCACCUUAGCGGUGUUUUGUCAAAUUUUAAAUAUUUUCUUCAUCUGUCAUCUACAUCUACAACACUUCUCACACCAACACGCUCCUUUAGCUCGCCGCCCUUCCAUAGACCCACACACUGCAGACUCGCGGUAGAGACAGAGGCAGCGCCCGCACACAAAAAAAAACACAAAUAUAAGCUGCGGGACGGGGUGGGUUAAAAGUCGGAAGAGGCAGUGGCAGGGGGAGGGCAGAGGCAGAGGCAGAGGCCGAGUGAAGCAGAAGCAGAGUGUGAAUGAUAGAAUGUAAAAAGAACAACAAAAGCUGCGGGACAGGGUUUAGCCACUGGAAAUUAAUUUCUUCAUUCUGGCUAUAAGAAUGAUCCAAUCGGAUCCCAAUUUGGUGAUCUGAUAGAUAUGGUUAUUCCCUACCGAACGGUGUUUUUAGUUUUAUUUUAUCUUUAAAAUUGUAUUUGGGGGAGUCUGUCUGUCCGUCCGUCUUGUUGAGCGACUGGAUCUCACCAAAAAGCCACCAAAUUUUGCAUCCAGACUUCUGUAUGCUCACACUGUAACAAAAGUAUUUCAAAAAUGAGCCACGCCCCCUUCCGCCCCGCAAAAGGGAGAAAACCUCCCAAGUCUACAAUUUUAAGAUAAAAGAAAAAAGAUAUUAUACUAAAAUAGCAUGCUUCCGAAAAAUAAUCUUAUUUGUACAUACAUACUAUGCCAAAGAUAUUUUUUCAGUUGAUUAAUGCUGAAGUGGGAAGAGGCUAGGAACGCCCGUCAAGACAUGAAAAAUAUUCACAAACGUAGAUUUAAUUUAACAAAGUAGAUGCUAAACACGCGAUUGCACAAAGUACAUAUUUAUAUACAUAUAUGUACUUAUACACAUAUAUGUGCUUAUGUAAGUGUUGUGUAUGUAUGUACAUAUGUAUGCAUGCCAAAAAGCAGCAGCGAAAGUCGAUAGAAAAAGAAGCAAAAAUAACAGCUAAACUGCAGUGCAAGGUGGGAUAAAUGCGGGGGAAAAUGGUAGUUUGUGCAGUCUUGGGGCUGUCAGGGCCCCAUACAUACACAACCAGAGCGAUUGACCCGUCAUCUGAUUCGGCGCUGAUGCAGGAAUGGCAGCUGUGCUGGAGAUGCUGGCCAAGCGAGACGAGGAGCUCUCGCAGCUUUGAGCCAUGGCGGCACAAGACUGUAAAAGCUGUUGAUACUGUUCUAAUGACUACCGGUUGUUUUGUAUUCCUGUUAUUGUCUAGUUACUACUGGUAAGAUAUCAAGCACAAAAACAAUAACAAAACUACGCGGGACCACAGACCACAGAACACACAAAAAAAACGAUCGAAAGCAAGAUCGAAUUCACCGCUGCGGAAUGCAUUCAGUUCCGUUCCGCGUACACGUUGCUUGACACUUGUCAAAAUAGGAAUGAACAAAAGGCAAGGUAGAGCAGCAAACGGCACGCGCGCGAUCGACGACGUCGCAGUCCAUUGUCGGUAACCGCAAUCGUUUCUCUGUGCACAGAUUAUGAACAGUGUAACCAGUUCAAUUUUUUUUCCACAAAAAAAAACCAAACAAAAAAAACAAGCUCAAAAGUAAGAGUUUUUUAUUUGCAGUUGAAACACCUUAUAAGAGAAUGCUAUGCUGAUGGAAAUUUGUUUCCUUUUUUUAAUUAGCAAUGUAUCUAGACUACUAGACCUUCAUACAUAUGUAUAAAUGUUGAGCAUGGGAAAAAAAAUUAAAGUUUGUAUAUUUAAACAUGUCUAUUUUUUAUACCCGGUACUCGAAGAGUAAAUAGGGUAUAUUGUACCUAUUGUAAUAGAUAGAUAGAUAGAUAGAUAUAUAGAUAGAUAUAUAGAUAGAUAUAUAGAUAUAUUAUAGAUAUAAGAUCUCCGAAUUAGGGUUAGAUCGGAUCGUUAUUAUAGACAGAAUGAAGAAUAAUUUGCAGUGGCAAAACCCACCAUGUCCAGAAGCAUAUUUUUAUUUUUGCACAUUCUCACAUUCACACUCUGCUUUUUGUGGUGUGUGGGGGAUGGGGAUGGGUGCGAGCUAAAAUAGCCUGUUGGCGUGAAGUGAUUAUGUAGUUAACAGAUGUAGAAAAAGUGUAAUAUGUAAAAAUUAAAAUUUGAAAAAAAAAACCGCUAAGGUACAGGUGUAGUACUGAGUACCGUGUAUAAAAGUUGUGAUGUUUAUUUGUAAUAACCUCUAUCUUUAUUUACCGAUAGUUCACACCUCUGCUUUCCAAUGUGAACUUUACGCAUUUGUACAUAGGUAUGCACAUGAGGCAAUUAUAGAAGGAGGUCCGUCGUCAGCAGCGUUGCUCGUGUCAUUUCCCGUUGAGUUCAGUGCGUGCCUGACUUCAUUGUCAUUUCACUCAAACAUACAGCGCAGAACCCUUUCACUCGCACUUAUUGACAGCAUUGUUACGUUUCCCUUGUUUUGCCGACGAGACCUUCUUCUAUAAUUGCUUCAUGGGCAUGCACAUGAAAUCGCAAAUCCAGGUCCGUUCAUUCACAGUUCGGCACCGUAAUAAUUGAGGAAAAGGUUCUGGUCAUGGCGGAAAUUGUAUUACAUAUUUUUUUGCACACAGCGUAUAGAAUGCGUUUCUAAUUAGAUUGGCGCACCAAUAAGAAGGUGCCGAACUUGACAACAAAUCCAAUACAAUACAUAAAUAAUUUGAUAAUUGAAAUACGUUGGAGAAACAUCACAUCUACAGAAAAAUAUACAUAAAAACAUACAUAUAUAACUAAAUUAAGUUAGAGGGACUUGGUGACGAAAUCAAACAAUUCAGUUUGGGCGGAACCCUGAUCAGCAGUAGGUGCCGUGCCGAUAUGUUGCUUCGACUGGGGCCUGGCUGUUCUUUACGAAUCGGCCAGAGCACGAUCACGUGAUCUCUGUUUAAUUAGUAUUUGUGCAGAUUUAUUUGAAAUGUUCAAACACACACACAUAAAUAUACCUUUCUUGGAUUUAUAAAUAAAUGACCGAGUCCACAGCAAUGAGCCAGCGCUAGCGCAUGAAAUCCCGUACCUACAAGAACAAUAACGACAACGAAAAUAUCAGUGUGUACUUGACAAUGUGUUGGGAACACAGAAACAAUUUUUUGGAAUUUGCUUAGCGAAGGUUUGUAAUUAUUUUCACUUAAAGGCACAAUUCAUAAUCUGCACUUUUUAGUAGCUCCGCAGUUGAGGGCCAAAACUGAACUGUUUAGCUAAAAUUUUCUUAAUAAUACAUAUAAUAUAAUUAAUAUUUCAAAACCAGAUUGAAAGACGCAUAGAGCCGAUACACCAAAACAGGACUCGGCACGGCCCAUCUAUUGUGCAUAGGACCAUGAAGCAAUUAUAUAAGGAGGGUCCGUCGGCAAAAUUAGGGUAGCCUAACAAUGCACUGCGCUGUAAGUGUGAGUGAAACGAAAAUGGAGUGUGCUGAUUAACCCUUUGAUGGCAUGGGGUUUAAAAUUGCCCAUUGCAAGACAAGGAGUUGCAGUUUUCUUUUUUAUUUUGUUUUUUUUUUUAAUUAACUAGUUGUUUAAUAUGUAUUUGUUUUCUUAGGCUCUUAAUUCUAAAAUUAAUUUCAACUUUCUGGCUGCAAAAAAUAAAAUAUCAUAUUGUGCGUAGGGAAGUGUUAAUAUACAUUUUCGGCGAAAAUAGUAGCACCGUGUGGUACAACAGUCUUUAUUGUUUCAAAUAAUGUGUUCCAUACAACAAAUCAACAAUUUUGAAGAUAAAAUAAAACUAAAAACGCCAUUCCGUAGGGUAUGACCAUAUCUAUCAGAUCAGAAUUGGGAUCCGAUUGAACCAUUAUUAUAGCCAGAAUAAAGAAAUUAAUAUGCAGUGGCUAAACCCACCACGACCCGCAGCUUAUAUUUGUUUUUGGUGUGAGAAGUGUUGUAUAUGUAGAUGACAGAUGAAGAGAAAAUGUAAAAUUUGACAAAACACCGCUAAGGUGCAGAUGUAGUCCUGAGUGCCGGGUAUAAAAGUUGUGACGCGUAAGAAACGUCUAUCACGUCCCUUCUCGUUUACAAUGUACUUGACACAAUUUUUGACACGUGUGUCCCACUCUCAUGUCCGACUAGAUCUGCGAAGCCUCCUUGGUUCACCAAAGAGUUAUCCAGUCUAAAGAACCUAAAAUCGUGACUAUUUAAAAAAUCUCAAGAAAUUGGUUCUCCCUCUUUCUAAUUACUUAAUAGCUCGGUAAAAUUUCACUGUUUUUAAUGCUCAAUGCUAUAGGAACUACCUACUUCGAAGCAGGAUACGUUUUUCACAGGACCCUAAACAGUUUUAGAGCUUUGCAAACAGUAAGCGUAGAACGUCCGCACAUCCAUCCUCGCUAUCAUUUUUAAAUAUGUCGGCACAAAAUGAUCAGGCAAUCGACGCUCUUUUUGCACAAUACAUUUUAAACAACCUAUUCCCAGGAAAGCUACCCAGAUCAUGUGUAUCCAUAUAGUUUACCAAGGUCGAAUAGCAUUUUCUGCCCUUUGUUUAUUGAAAGCUCCCUACUUCAUGAACUUCAAUUAGUUAAGGCGGUAUUUUUACCGGGCCCUGACGGAGUUCCCGGCCUUGUACUCAGGUACUGUGCCGAGACUCUGUGCGGACCUUUGCUUAAACUAUUCACUCUAUCCAUCCAUUCUUCUAGCCUUCCUCCCAUCUGGAAGGAAUUCUUUAUAAUUCCUCUCCAUAAGAAAGGUGACAAGAGUGACGCUAACAACUAUAGAGGUAUAUCUAAUCUAAUCUAAUCUAAUCUUUAGAGUUCACCUCCACCUUACGUUCCAAGGUAACUUGAAGACGGGUGGUAUUUACACUGACUUCAGUAAGGCAUUCGAUUCUGUAAACCAUUCUCUUCUUGCGACCUUCUAGGGUUUCCGCCAAAUCUUUUGAGAUGGAUUUAUAGCUACCUGCGUUCUAGGUCUCAAAAAAUCCUCUUCAAAAACUCCUUAUCUUUACCUGGUAUGGUUACUUCUGGAGUACCACAGGGUAGCCAUUUAGGCCCCUUACUUUUCACACUCUUUAUUGCCUGCCUUCUGUAUUGACAAAUUCUCGAGUACUUAUGUAUGCGGUUGAUGUUAAGCUCUGUGUCCAGUAUAAGGACAUUUCAUCUCACUCUCGCUUGCAAUCAGAUCUCAAUAGCUUUCAGUCAUGGUGUGGUGCAAAUAUGUUACACCUUAAUGCACUGAAGUGCAAUGUAAUGACUUUUUUUUGCUCCUUCCUGGCUCCUUACACCCUCUGCGGUAGUUCUCUUGAGAAAAUUACAUUAGUGGAUAAUCUUGGUGUUAAAGUAGACCCCAAGUUAAAGUUUUCUGAACACAUUUCACCAUGGUAAAUAAAGCCAUGGGUGUGCCUGGAUUUAUAAAGAGGUGGUCAGAGGAAUUUGAUGAUCCCUAUAUAACGAAGACUCUCUAUAUCUAGCUUGUUCGUCCGAUUUUGGAAUACGGCUCACGUGUAUGGUGCCCUCAGUACAACAUACAUCAGGACCGUAUUGAAUCAGUACAGAAAAACCUUUUACUUUUUGACCUGCGUGGCGUUAACUGGGAUGCAACUGUGAAAAUGCCAUCCUACCGUAGUAGACCCCUUCUAAUAAAUCUUCCAUCCUUAGUUAAUCGUAGAAAAAUGCUUGGUUUAAUUUUUAUGCACAACUUGAACAAGGGGGAUGUAGACAGCCCUGACUUGAUGAGCCGCGUAAACUUUACGAUUCCCAUUCGACCCACUAGAAACUAUAUUCCUUUGUUCCUUCCACUGUGCAGAUCGAAUUAUGACUUGCACGAACCCUUUAGGGUCUUAGAUCGGAUUAUAAUUCCUUCUAUCACAUUAUAUCUAACUAACUCCCUUCCCUUCUUAAAUCUCUUAUACUAUCCUACGUCUCCCGUAGUUAGUUUCAUUUUAGUUUUGUCUUGUUUCUGACUUUGAUAGUUUUGCUUGCUUAGCUUAGUUGCUCUAGUUUAGUUGUGUUUAGCUCUUAUUUUCCUCGAAUAUUAGCCUAACAUCUAUCUUUCCUGCAUGCUCGCGACCGGUUCGGUUUAUCGCGCUGCGCGGCAUGCGGCACCGCCCCUCGGUCGGUUGGGCGGGAGGAGGGCUGCGUUCUGCUGAGUUUCGCGCGUAACAGGCUUUGGUUAUCAACGUCCAGACUAAAAACAAAUAUCCACAUUUCGGAGCAAGAGGUUUCUGAGAGCAAGAGGGGUCCUUUUGAGCCGGCCACAGAGCUUAAAAGGGAACUUAAAAAAUGUCCAAAGAUAAGCAAAGCUACAUCUAACUUAAAAGAAUAUAAAUUAAGUGUCCGAAGUCUGAUUUAGCAAAGAAGGCAUGGGGCAUAGUGAAUACAAGGUAGAAAAAACACUGGAGUUGGCCCAAAUAAAUAUGGUUUUAGAUCCUGUGAUCUGGAGGGAUCCAAAUGUUGUUUGUUUGUUGCAAAAACUUUAGAUCUCAUUUAAAACGACUACCAAAUUAAAAACAAAACCCUUUAACUGGCAUUAAAAUCUAAUAAUCAUGCUGAGACAAGAAUCAUGCAUACUAUAUGUGCAUGCUUUUCGUAUUAUGGGUGUGAUAUAGUACCCGUGCUGCAAUCGAUGAUGAAUCAACAUGUCUUUGUUAUUAUGUAAUAAAACAAUAAGGCUGCUUUAUAUGCAAUAGAAAAUGCCGUUGACACGUGUCUUUUCAUCAGGGAAAAUACCCAAAACAGACCAGAAGAUAGAGAGCUCUGAGGGGUUUUAAAACAGUGCCUUUUAUGCAAUGUUUUCUCUUGCUCAGUACCCAGACAUUAACUAUGGUGAUAAUCUUUGAAGAAGAGUUAGAGAAUAUGUUUCUUAUACGAAAUUAAAGAAAAAGCUUAAUAUUGGGGAGUCCUGCCAGAUUUGUUGAGAUGAAUCCCUCAGCCUUUUUUUGCUGCCAAAAGCUU
rnacentral:lncRNA from 1 species